AGUGAACGCUGGCGGCAGGCCUAACACAUGCAAGUCGAACGGCAGCACAGGAGAGCUUGCUCUCUGGGUGGCGAGUGGCGGACGGGUGAGGAAUGCGUCGGAAUCUGCCUAUUUGUGGGGGAUAACGUAGGGAAACUUACGCUAAUACCGCAUACGACCUACGGGUGAAAGUGGGGGACCGCAAGGCCUCACGCAGAUAGAUGAGCCGACGCCGGAUUAGCUAGUUGGCGGGGUAAAGGCCCACCAAGGCGAGGAUCCGUAGCUGGUCUGAGAGGAUGAUCAGCCACACUGGAACUGAGACACGGUCCAGACUCCUACGGGAGGCAGCAGUGGGGAAUAUUGGACAAUGGGCGCAAGCCUGAUCCAGCCAUGCCGCGUGUGUGAAGAAGGCCUUCGGGUUGUAAAGCACUUUUGUCCGGAAAGAAAAGCAUUCGGCUAAUAACCGGGUGUUAUGACGGUACCGGAAGAAUAAGCACCGGCUAACUUCGUGCCAGCCGCCGCGGUAAAAC
rnacentral:rRNA from 1 species